rnacentral:misc_RNA from 1 species
GAAAAGUGACGUCAGGACUCCACGUGGCUUAACCAGGGGACAUCGAACGAGCUGUUGGGCCAAUAAUUCAUCGUUUUCAACUGAUUCAGGAGGUUGAGAAGAGUUAGGAUCAAGGUAGAGGCAGUAUAGGUCAUGUUUUGUGAAUAAGGGAGUUGAAGGAGGGUAUUUUAGGAAAACAACUGUCUCGUCCGGGAAUUCGACGGUUUGUAUAAUUGGCUUAACAGCGGUUAGGGCUGUGGUUGUCGCCGGCCGCCAUUGAUGAAACCCUUGAAAUAGUAGAGAAGAGAAAGUGAAGGCAGCAAAGCAGAGGAUACACCAGAAGAAAGAUCUUCGAACUGCUACAUGUUUUUUACGAUGUUUGAUUGGAAUUUG